CUCAGAUUGAACGCUGGCGGCAGGCUUAACACAUGCAAGUCGAGCGGUAACAGAGAGUAGUUUACUAUUCUGCUGACGAGCGGCGGACGGGUGAGUAAUGCCUAGGAAUCUGCCUAGUAGUGGGGGAUAACUUGCCGAAAGGUAAGCUAAUACCGCAUACGUCCUACGGGAGAAAGGAGGGGACUCUUCGGAGCCUUUCGCUAUUAGAUGAGCCUAGGUCGGAUUAGUUAGUUGGUGAGGUAAUGGCUCACCAAGACCGCGAUCCGUAACUGGUCUGAGAGGAUGAUCAGUCACACUGGAACUGAGACACGGUCCAGACUCCUACGGGAGGCAGCAGUGGGGAAUAUUGGACAAUGGGGGAAACCCUGAUCCAGCCAUGCCGCGUGUGUGAAGAAGGUCUUAGGAUUGUAAAGCACUUUAAGUUGGGAGGAAGGGCAGUUAACUAAUAUUUG
rnacentral:rRNA from 1 species